rnacentral:rRNA from 1 species
GAUGAACGCUGGCGGCGUGCCUAAUACAUGCAAGUCGAGCGAACGGACGAGAAGCUUGCUUCUCUGAUGUUAGCGGCGGACGGGUGGGUAACACGUGGAUAACCUACCUAUAAGACUGGGAUAACUUCGGGAAACCGGAGCUAAUACCGGAUAAUAUUUUGAACCGCAUGGUUCAAAAGUGAAAGACGGUCUUGCUGUCACUUAUAGAUGGAUCCGCGCUGCAUUAGCUAGUUGGUAAGGUAACGGCUUACCAAGGCAACGAUGCAUAGCCGACCUGAGAGGGUGAUCGGCCACACUGGAACUGAGACACGGUCCAGACUCCUACGGGAGGCAGCAGUAGGGAAUCUUCCGCAAUGGGCGAAAGCCUGACGGAGCAACGCCGCGUGAGUGAUGGAGGUCUUCGGAUCGUAAAACUCUGUUAUUAGGGAAGAACAUAUGUGUAAGUAACUGUGCACAUCUUGACGGUACCUAAUCAGAAAGCCACGGCUAACUACGUG